GCUUACGGCCAUACCAGCCUGAAUAAGCCCGAUCUUGCCUGAUCUCAGAAGCUAAGCAGGGUCGGGCUUGGUUCUAUGACCAUCCGUCAUAGAGUAUAGAGCUGUAGUUU
rfam:Salmo salar isolate Sally breed double haploid chromosome ssa08, whole genome shotgun sequence.